UACGUAGGGACCAAGCGUUGUCCGGAUUUAUUGGGCGUAAAGAGCGUGUAGGCGGCCAAGCAGGUCCGUUGUGAAAACUGGAGGCUUAACCUCCAGACGUCGACGGAAACCGCGUGGCUAGAGUCCGGAAGAGGAGAGUGGAAUUCCUGGUGUAGCGGUGAAAUGCGUAGAUAUCGUAAGGAAGACCAGUGGCGAAGGCGGGUCUCUGGACAGUUCCUGACGCUGAGGCACGAAGGUCAGGGGAGCAAACGGG
rnacentral:rRNA from 1 species